UAAAGCAGAGUUGUGGGUUUCCAGAGACCAAAAGGAAACAAAAAAUGCAGCACAAUUUGCAAACUGAAGACAAUAUAAGAUCAUGCAUGGUGUUCCAACUAAGUACACAACAGAGUUAAUCCAGCAAGACAAACAGUGGAGGAAAUAUUCCA